rnacentral:lncRNA from 1 species
AGUUGACUAUAGGUAACUAAGGGGGCUGGAGAGCUGGCUCAGCGGUUAAGAGCACUGACUAUAGCACCGCUCCUGCCUCAGGACCUUUGCAUGAUCCUUUCACCAGCCUCACUUCAGACAUCUCCACAACUGACUUCCUCUGCUCCUUAGGGACAUGUCGUCUCGCUGCUACCUUCCGUGUCUCCGGGGUCUUCCAAGCAGGGCCUCUGUAAGCCCACGCUGCGUGUUGGGAAGGUCAGACUGACUUCCCUCUUCACAGAGGACGCUGGGGCCCUGCCGGCCAAUCCAAUCGUUUGUCCAGCAGACGAGGGAUUCAAGCUCCUGCUGACUCCAAAGUGUGGAGGUGCUGGGAAUAGAGGCGCAAAGAUAUCUGAAUACACAAGCCCCUGAACAAAACCCCUUCCCAAGAGGACCCUGAGGCUUAUAUUACAGAACCUUAUAUUACAGAAGCUCAAGGGUGAGCUUGAAGUUUGGUCUACACCAGGGCAGUUAU